rnacentral:rRNA from 1 species
UACGUAGGGGGCAAGCGUUGUCCGGAAUUAUUGGGCGUAAAGAGCGUGUAGGCGGUCCGGUAAGUCCGUUGUGAAAGUCAAGGGCUCAACCCUUGAAUGCCGGCGGAUACUGUCGGGCUAGAGUCCGGAAGAGGCAAGUGGAAUUCCUGGUGUAGCGGUGGAAUGCGCAGAUAUCAGGAGGAACACCGGUGGCGAAGGCGGUUCUCUGGGCCUGUACUGACGCUGAGGAGCGAAAGCGUGGGGAGCGAACAGG